AGGCGGCGGAGGUGGAGGAGGAGGAGGCGAUGGCGUCGCAAGGGACGAUGACGCCCCAAAGGGUCUUAGGUUAAUUCUUGUCGCCGCACCUUCUUCCAUGCCGUGGCCGCGUUACCUCGCCGUGAAAAACUCUGGGGAAAAGCUCGUGCCUCGACAAGACGGAGGCGGCGGAGGGGGAGGCGACCAAGUCAAGAUCGACAAGCUCCGCACCGCCGCCGGCGAGUUCGUCUCACAGAAGAGCAGCUCGGUGUUUGGCAAGAAGAAGGUCGAGCCCGUGGUCAAGGAUGCUGCAGUUCCAGGGGAGACGAGUUCGGUGACAGUCGAGUCUCUGUGAGGGGGGCCUCGCUUCUGAUCGGUACCAACUUUGAUGAGACAAGUGUAAAUCCUCUUAGGAGUUCAGAUCUCGACUCUGUUUGCAAAGAAGAAUGUCGGGGCCGUCUUGAUGGAUAAAGAAGCUCCAUGGAAGGCGAGUCCGGUGGCAAUCGAGUCUCAGUACAGCCGUACAGGGGAUCCUGAUUGUUUCUAACUUUGAUGAGACAAGUCUGCAGAGAACUUGGUGUUGUGAGGUCUUAUCGAUCGUAGAGUAGUUUUUUACCAUGUCAUCUUUUCCGUAGUUCUAGUGGGAAGAGUAGUUUGGACAUGGUUGGCUAAGUGAUACUACUACUAUGACCUCGACAUGUUUCUAGUUUCUACCUGAAAAAUAUGUGUGCCUCAAAUCUUCUUGGUAGGAGUAGCAUAUAUGAUUUGAUAUCUUCAGUGGAGCUGGUUAAAUUUGCGCCGCUACUAUUCUGUGCGUUCUUGUGUUGAGCAUGGGUGAUAUUCUCACUGGAUUCCUCUUGUUUUUCUGAAUGCAAA